GUUUUGGCUUGGGCGGCAACGCGCUUCGAACCUGGUCAGGUCGUGACAGAAGCAGCCAUAAGAAGUUAGCGUUGGGCGCCCAAGCCGGUAAGCU
rnacentral:SRP_RNA from 1 species